UCUAAUUGCUGCAUCUGCUUUUAUGCGCAGAUUCAGGGAAGGUUACACACUGUGCUGCCUCCGCCCCGCCUGUCCAGGGCCCUCCCCCGCCCCCUUUAGUGCUGCGUCCUCAUAGGCCGCUUGUCUGAAGGAGAGGGUGAUGGAGCGUGGCACGUCUUGCGUUUAAACCAGUCAAGUCAGGAGUCCUUGGGGGUUUAUUUCCCCAGGACUGUUCUUUUGUCUUUUCUUUUAACCAUUUUAACUAUUUUUAAGUGUACGGUUCAAUAGCACUAAGUAGAUUCACAGUGUUGUGUAAACAUCACUAGUAUUUAUUCCCAGAACUUUCUCAUCUUCCCAAACUGAAACGCUGUCCCCAUCAAACACUGACUCCCCACUAUUAUAUUUUUUAAAAUGCACAUAGUAACAUCAUGUUUCUCAGAGGCUGUCACGUCCUCUAGAUAUUUCUCCCUAGAGAUACAGUAAACG
rnacentral:lncRNA from 1 species